AUGAAGCUUAAGAUCAACAAGGCGUGCGACCUCGCCUCCAUCUCCGUCCUCCCUCCCCGGAGGACCAGAGGGAGCAGCGGUGGCGGUGGUGGCGGGACGAGCGCGCCUGCUGCUGCUUCCGCGGCGCAGCAGCAGCGGUCCCAGUCGAUGUCGCAGAAGUCCUUCUCGCAGGGCGUCGGCGCGUCCUUCUCACAGGGCAUAGGCAGCGGAGGCGCGUCCUUCUCCCAGGGCAGCGGCGGCGGAGGCGCCGCGUUCUCUCAGGGCGGUGGAGGCGGAGGCGCGGCGUUCUCUCAGGGCGGAGGUGGCGGAGGCGCGGCGUUCUCUCAGAGCGGAGGUGGCGGAGGCGCGGCGUUCUCUCAGAGCGGAGGUGGCGGAGGCACGGCGUUCUCUCAGGGCGGAUGUGGCGGAGGCGCAGCGUUCUCUCAGGGCGGAGGUGGCGGAGGCGCGUCCUUCUCGCAGGGCGGUGGCAGCGCGUCGCUCUUGCACGCGCAGUCGCAGCUCUCGCAGGCCUCCCUCAACGAGAGCCUCCUCAGCCUCCUCUCGCAGGCUCCCGCGCGCGAUCAGAAAUUUGCCAUGCAAGAGGACCCGUCGAAGCGGAAGUCUUCGUAUCCUGCCAGUUCAGCUUCUUCUUGUAUGCGUGACGAAUCUCAGCUGCAAAUUGCAAAAAUACCAACCAACCCUAUCCACCGCUGGAGCCCCUCUCUUCUGGAUAGCAGAUGUCAGGUUAAUGAGGAUGUUGAGCGCAAAUUUCAGCAUCUGGCAAGUUCAGUACAGAAGAUGGGAAUGAUAUUAGACUCUGUGCAAAAUGAUGUGAUGCAGUUAAACAGAGGCAUGAAGGAGGCAUCACUAGACUCUGGUGGCAUUCAGAACAAGUUUGUGCUCCUAGAGGACUCUCUAAAGCAAAUUCUUAAGGGGCAAGAUGAUCUCAAAGCACUCCUCAAGGGAAGCACGAAAAGUAAUGCUGACCAGCUCAGUAUUCUCACCAGCAAACUGGAUGAGAUAUCCUCGAUACUUUCAGUCUUGCCAAAGCAAGUUCAAACAGAAUUCGAGCAAUUCAAGGGUGACAUAUUUAGUUUUUUUACAAAAGAGAUGGAGGGGGUCGUUAGAGCUGUCAGAUCUCUCGAUAGUAGGCUGCCCGGGGUGAUGCAAAUGCUGGCAGAUCAGAGCUGCACCACCAAUGCAAAACCCCUGAUGAACCAGGCAGCAGUAGAAAAUGGAAGCCCCCUGAUGAACCAGACACAAGUAGCAGAUGGAAGCCCCCUGAUGAACCAAGGACCGGUAGCAGACAGAAGGCCGCAGAAGAAACCAACGGCAGUAGCAAAUGGAAGGCCCAAGAGGAAGAACCAAACGGCAGUAGCAAAUGGAAGGCCCAAGAGGAAGAACCAAACGGCAGUAGCAAAUGGAAGGCCCCAGAGGAAGAACCAGGCAGCAGGAGCAAAUGGGAGGCCCCAGAGGAAGAAACCAACAGAAACAGCAGCAAAUGGGAGGCCCCAGAGGAAGAAACCAACAGAAACAGCAGCAAAUGCAAAGCCCCAGAGGUACCUCACACGAGUGACAAAUGGAAGGCCCCAGGUGAAACAAACAGAAGCAGCAGAUGGAAGGUCGCAGACGAACCAGAAACCCGAGGCAAAUGGGAAAGCCCUGAUACCAGUAACAACAGCCGUUCCUGCGCCCGUGGUUUAUCACCGAAAGGCGGUUGAUCUGAAGCCAAAGGUGGAACAGUGGAUGGUACCGGAACUGGCUGGCCCAAGCUACAGCAGGCCAGUGCCACCUAAAGAGCAAGAGUUGGCGAUUCAGAAGGUCAAUACAGAGGCGCCAAUCAAUAAGAUGCAGGCGAUGCUGGGCCUUCUCAUGGACUCGGAUGACGACGGCGAAGACGAGGGGGCUGACAGCGACUGGAGCGCCUCCUGCGUGAUCCUGAAGUUGGAAGCAGGGUGUCCGGGUGAUGAGGUGGUGCCGGAGGAGGCGACGAGCGAGGGGGAGGGGGAGGCGCUGGAGAUCCUGCGGCGGGCGAGGAAGCGGCGGCGGAGGGAGGCCAACGCCAAUGCGAUUGUGCUCGUCCAAGACCAACGCUGA
rnacentral:rRNA from 1 species